CCAUUUAAAGUGGUACGCGAGCUGGGUUUAGAACGUCGUGAGACAGUUCGGUCCCUAUCUGCCGUGGGCGCUGGAGAAUUGAGGGGGGCUGCUCCUAGUACGAGAGGACCGGAGUGGACGCAUCACUGGUGUUCGGGUUGUCAUGCCAAUGGCACUGCCCGGUAGCUAAAUGCGGAAGAGAUAAGUGCUGAAAGCAUCUAAGCACGAAACUUGCCCCGAGAUGAGUUCUCCCUGAGACUUUAAGUCUCCUGAAGGAACGUUAAAGACGAUGACGUUGAUAGGCCGGGUGUGUAAGCGCAGCGAUGCGUUGAGCUAACCGGUACUAAUGAACCGUGAGGCUUAACCUUACAACGCCGAAG
rnacentral:rRNA from 1 species